GAUGAACGCUGGCGGCGUGCCUAAUACAUGCAAGUCGAGCGAACGGACGAGAAGCUUGCUUCUCUGAUGUUAGCGGCGGACGGGUGAGUAACACGUGGAUAACCUACCUAUAAGACUGGGAUAACUUCGGGAAACCGGAGCUAAUACCGGAUAAUAUUUUUAACCGCAUGGUUCAAAAGUGAAAGAUGGUCUUGCUGCCACUUAUAGAUGGAUCCGCUCUGCAUUAGCUAGUUGGGAAGGUAACGGCUUACCAAGGCAACGAUGCAUAGCGGACCUGAGAGGGGGAUCGCCCACACUGGACCUGAGACACGGCCCAGACCCCUACGGGAGGAGCCAGUAGGGAAUUUUCGGCAAUGGGCGAAAGCCUAACGGAGCAACGCCGCGUGAGUGAUGAAGGUCUUCGGUUCGUAAACCUCUGUUAUUAGGGAAGAACAUAUGUGUAAGUAACUGUGCACAUCUUGACGGUAACUAAUCAGAAAGCCACGGCUAACUACGUG
rnacentral:rRNA from 1 species